rnacentral:rRNA from 1 species
GACGAACGCUGGCGGCGUGCCUAACACAUGCAAGUCGAGCGGGGUAUGUGGAGCAGCUUGCUGCACCAUAUACCUAGCGGCGGACGGGUGAGUAACGCGUGAGUAACCUACCUUGUACUGGGGGAUAACAGCCGGAAACGGCUGCUAAUACCGCAUAAGACCACAUUGCCGCAUGGCGAAGUGGUCAAAGGGCUUAACCGGUACAAGAUGGGCUCGCGUCCCAUUAGCUAGUUGGUGAGGUAACGGCUCACCAAGGCGACGAUGGGUAGCCGGCCUGAGAGGGUGUACGGCCACACUGGGACUGAGACACGGCCCAGACUCCUACGGGUGGCAG